rnacentral:snRNA from 1 species
CUGCUUAUCUGGCAGGGGAGACACCAUGAUCAGGCAGGUGGUUUUCCCAGGGCAAGGCUCAUCCCCUGUUCUCUGAGUGUGCUGAUCCCUCUGAUUUCCCCAAAUGCAGGAAACUCAACUGCAUAAUUCGUGGUAGAUGGGGACUGCAUUCAUGCUCUCCCCUG